AUGGUAUCAGUGGUAGGGGAGCGUUCUAAGUGCAGUGAAGUCAGACCGGAAGGACUGGUGGAGCGCUUAGAAGUGAGAAUGCCGGUAUGAGUAGCGAAAGACGGGUGAGAAUCCCGUCCACCGAAUGCCUAAGGUUUCCUGAGGAAGGCUCGUCCGCUCAGGGUUAGUCAGGACCUAAGCCGAGGCCGACAGGCGUAGGCGAUGGACAACAGGUUGAUAUUCCUGUACCACCUCUUUAUCGUUUGAGCAAUGGAGGGACGCAGAAGGAUAGAAGAAGCGUGCGAUUGGUUGUGCACGUCCAAGCAGUUAGGCUGAUAAGUAGGCAAAUCCGCUUAUCGUGAAGGCUGAGCUGUGAUGGGGAAGCUCCUUAUGGAGCGAAGUCUUUGAUUCCCCGCUGCCAAGAAAAGCUUCUAGCGAGAUAAAAGGUGCCUGUACCGCAAACCGACACAGGUAGGCGAGGAGAGAAUCCUAAGGUGUGCGAGAGAACUCUGGUUAAGGAACUCGGCAAAAUGACCCCGUAACUUCGGGAGAAGGGGUGCUUUCUUAACGGAAAGCCGCAGUGAAUAGGCCCAAGCGACUGUUUAGCAAAAACACAGCUCUCUGCGAAGCCGUAAGGCGAAGUAUAGGGGGUGACACCUGCCCGGUGCUGGAAGGUUAAGGAGAGGGGUUAGCGUAAGCGAAGCUCUGAACUGAAGCCCCAGUAAACGGCGGCCGUAACUAUAACGGUCCUAAGGUAGCGAAAUUCCUUGUCGGGUAAGUUCCGACCCGCACGAAAGGUGUAACGAUUUGGGCACUGUCUCAACCAGAGACUCGGUGAAAUUAUAGUACCUGUGAAGAUGCAGGUUACCCGCGACAGGACGGAAAGACCCCGUGGAGCUUUACUGUAGCCUGAUAUUGAAUUUUGGUACAGUUUGUACAGGAUAGGCGGGAGCCAUUGAAACCGGAGCGCUAGCUUCGGUGGAGGCGCUGGUGGGAUACCGCCCUGACUGUAUUGAAAUUCUAACCUACGGGUCUUAUCGACCCGGGAGACAGUGUCAGGUGGGCAGUUUGACUGGGGCGGUCGCCUCCUAAAGUGUAACGGAGGCGCCCAAAGGUUCCCUCAGAAUGGUUGGAAAUCAUUCGUAGAGUGCAAAGGCAUAAGGGAGCUUGACUGCGAGACCUACAAGUCGAGCAGGGACGAAAGUCGGGCUUAGUGAUCCGGUGGUUCCGCAUGGAAGGGCCAUCGCUCAACGGAUAAAAGCUACCCCGGGGAUAACAGGCUUAUCUCCCCCAAGAGUCCACAUCGACGGGGAGGUUUGGCACCUCGAUGUCGGCUCAUCGCAUCCUGGGGCUGUAGUCGGUCCCAAGGGUUGGGCUGUUCGCCCAUUAAAGCGGUACGCGAGCUGGGUUCAGAACGUCGUGAGACAGUUCGGUCCCUAUCCGUCGUGGGCGUAGGAAAUUUGAGAGGAGCUGUCCUUAGUACGAGAGGACCGGGAUGGACGCACCGCUGGUGUACCAGUUGUUCUGCCAAGGGCAUAGCUGGGUAGCUAUGUGCGGAAGGGAUAAGUGCUGAAAGCAUCUAAGCAUGAAGCCCCCCUCAAGAUGAGAUUUCCCAUAGCGUAAGCUAGUAAGAUCCCUGAAAGAUGAUCAGGUUGAUAGGUUCGAGGUGGAAGCAUGGUGACAUGUGGAGCUGACGAAUACUAAUAGAUCGAGGACUUAACCAUAUAA
rnacentral:rRNA from 1 species